rnacentral:rRNA from 1 species
AUUGAACGCUGGCGGCAGGCCUAACACAUGCAAGUCGAACGGUAACAGGAAACAGCUUGCUGUUUCGCUGACGAGUGGCGGACGGGUGAGUAAUGUCUGGGAAACUGCCUGAUGGAGGGGGAUAACUACUGGAAACGGUAGCUAAUACCGCAUAACGUCGCAAGCCCAAAGAGGGGGACCUUCGGGCCUCUUGCCAUCGGAUGUGCCCAGAUGGGAUUAGCUAGUAGGUGGGGUAACGGCUCACCUAGGCGACGAUCCCUAGCUGGUCUGAGAGGAUGACCAGCCACACUGGAACUGAGACACGGUCCAGACUCCUACGGGAGGCAGCAGUGGGGAAUAUUGCACAAUGGGCGCAAGCCUGAUGCAGCCAUGCCGCGUGUAUGAAGAAGGCCUUCGGGUUGUAAAGUACUUUCAGCGGGGAGGAAGGGAGUAAAGUUAAUACCUUUACUCAUUGACGUUACCCGCAGAAGAAGCACCGGCUAACUACGUG